UCAGUUGGCGACGCAAUCGCGCGGUAUCAUGCCGAAAGGUCUUACCGUGAGGAAAGUCCGGGCUUCAUAGAGCAAGGAUAACGGAUAACGUCCGCCGAGGGUGACCUUAGGGCAAGUGCAACAGAAAUAUACCGCCUCGAAAGAGGUAAGGGUGGAACGGCGAGGUAAGAGCUCACCGAAUUUUAUGGUAACAUAAGAUUCCUGUAAACCCUAUCCGAAGCAACACCUUCCAACACACUUUUAUGUGUACGGCUGCUCGUCGGCGUUUGGAUGGUGGCAGAAGGGAAACCUUUGAGCUUGUCGGAGACGGCAAGCAAAGAUAGAUGAUUGCGCACGACAGAACCCGGCUUACCGCCAACUGAUAUA
rnacentral:RNase_P_RNA from 1 species